rnacentral:rRNA from 1 species
UACGGGGGGAGCAAGCGUUGUUCGGAUUUACUGGGCGUAAAGGGCGCGUAGGCGGCGCAACAAGUCACUUGUGAAAUCUCCGGGCUUAACCCGGAGCGGUCAAGUGAUACUGUCGUGCUAGAGUGCGGAAGGGGCUACUGGAAUUCUCGGUGUAGCGGUGAAAUGCGUAGAGAUCUCCAAGAACACCCGUUGCGAAGGCGGCCGACUGGACCCAUAUUGACGCUGAGGCUCGAAAGCAUGGGGAGCAAACAGG